GGUUAAGCGACUAAGCGUACACGGUGGAUGCCCUGGCAGUCAGAGGCGAUGAAGGGCGUGCUAAUCUGCGAUAAGCGCCGGUAAGGUGAUAUGAACCGUUAUAACCGGCGAUACCCGAAUGGGGAAACCCAGUGUGAUUCGUCACACUAUCAUUAACUGAAUCCAUAGGUUAAUGAGGCGAACCGGGGGAACUGAAACAUCUAAGUACCCCGAGGAAAAGAAAUCAACCGAGAUUCCCCCAGUAGCGGCGAGCGAACGGGGAGGAGCCCAGAGCCUGAAUCAGCAUGUGUGUUAGUGGAAGCGUCUGGAAAGGCGCGCGAUACAGGGUGACAGCCCCGUACACAAAAGCGCAUGUGCUGUGAGCUCGAUGAGUAGGGCGGGACACGUGGUAUCCUGUCUGAAUAUGGGGGGACCAUCCUCCAAGGCUAAAUACUCCUGACUGACCGAUAGUGAACCAGUACCGUGAGGGAAAGGCGAAAAGAACCCCGGCGAGGGGAGUGAAAAAGAACCUGAAACCGUGUACGUACAAGCAGUGGGAGCCCCACCACCAAAGCAUUCUCUGGUGUUGAAGGCCCUGCAAAGCAGCAUCGCGGUGGCGGAGCGUCGUUUGCGACGCCCAACACACAAAACAAGCGGUGAGUGCUUUGGGGUGGGGUGACUGCGUACCUUUUGUAUAAUGGGUCAGCGACUUAUAUUCUGUAGCAAGGUUAACCGAAUAGGGGAGCCGGAGGGAAACCGAGUCUUAAUUGGGCGUUAAGUUGCAGGGUAUAGACCCGAAACCCGGUGAUCUAGCCAUGGGCAGGUUGAAGGUUGGGUAACACUAACUGGAGGACCGAACCGACUAAUGUUGAAAAAUUAGCGGAUGACCUGUGGCUGGGGGUGAAAGGCCAAUCAAACCGGGAGAUAGCUGGUUCUCCCCGAAAGCUAUUUAGGUAGCGCCUCGUGAAUUCAUCUCCGGGGGUAGAGCACUGUUUCGGCUAGGGGGCCAUCCCGGCUUACCAACCCGAUGCAAACUGCGAAUACCGGAGAAUGUUAUCACGGGAGACACACGGCGGGUGCUAACGUCCGUCGUGAAGAGGGAAACAACCCAGACCGCCAGCUAAGGUCCCAAAGUCAUGGUUAAGUGGGAAACGAUGUGGGAAGGCCCAGACAGCCAGGAUGUUGGCUUAGAAGCAGCCAUCAUUUAAAGAAAGCGUAAUAGCUCACUGGUCGAGUCGGCCUGCGCGGAAGAUGUAACGGGGCUAAACCAUGCACCGAAGCUGCGGCAGCGAACGUAUCACUUAAAGCGAUUCAGCGGGUUACGAUUGACGGAGCGAAGCGACGUCAAAGCGUAUACAAAGUCGAGUCGGUUUAAGGAUACGUUCGUUGGGUAGGGGAGCGUUCUGUAAGCCUGCGAAGGUGGCCUGUGAGGGUUGCUGGAGGUAUCAGAAGUGCGAAUGCUGACAUAAGUAACGAUAAAGCGGGUGAAAAGCCCGCUCGCCGGAAGACCAAGGGUUCCUGUCCAACGUUAAUCGGGGCAGGGUGAGUCGACCCCUAAGGCGAGGCCGAAAGGCGUAGUCGAUGGGAAACGGGUUAAUAUUCCCGUACUUGGUGUUACUGCGAAGGGGGGACGGAGAAGGCUAUGUUGGCCGGGCGACGGUUGUCCCGGUUUAAGCGUGUAGGUGUGUGUUCCAGGUAAAUCCGGUUCACUUUAACACUGAGGCGUGACGACGAGGCACUACGGUGCUGAAGCAACAAAUGCCCUGCUUCCAGGAAAAGCCUCUAAGCAUCAGGUAACAUCAAAUCGUACCCCAAACCGACACAGGUGGUCAGGUAGAGAAUACCAAGGCGCUUGAGAGAACUCGGGUGAAGGAACUAGGCAAAAUGGUGCCGUAACUUCGGGAGAAGGCACGCUGACACGUAGGUGAAGUGAUUUACUCACGGAGCUGAAGUCAGUCGAAGAUACCAGCUGGCUGCAACUGUUUAUUAAAAACACAGCACUGUGCAAACACGAAAGUGGACGUAUACGGUGUGACGCCUGCCCGGUGCCGGAAGGUUAAUUGAUGGGGUCAGCGCAAGCGAAGCUCCUGAUCGAAGCCCCGGUAAACGGCGGCCGUAACUAUAACGGUCCUAAGGUAGCGAAAUUCCUUGUCGGGUAAGUUCCGACCUGCACGAAUGGCGUAAUGAUGGCCAGGCUGUCUCCACCCGAGACUCAGUGAAAUUGAACUCGCUGUGAAGAUGCAGUGUACCCGCGGCAAGACGGAAAGACCCCGUGAACCUUUACUAUAGCUUGACACUGAACAUUGAGCCUUGAUGUGUAGGAUAGGUGGGAGGCUUUGAAGUGUGGACGCCAGUCUGCAUGGAGCCGACCUUGAAAUACCACCCUUUAAUGUUUGAUGUUCUAACGUGGACCCGUGAUCCGGGUUGCGGACAGUGUCUGGUGGGUAGUUUGACUGGGGCGGUCUCCUCCUAAAGAGUAACGGAGGAGCACGAAGGUUGGCUAAUCCUGGUCGGACAUCAGGAGGUUAGUGCAAUGGCAUAAGCCAGCUUGACUGCGAGCGUGACGGCGCGAGCAGGUGCGAAAGCAGGUCAUAGUGAUCCGGUGGUUCUGAAUGGAAGGGCCAUCGCUCAACGGAUAAAAGGUACUCCGGGGAUAACAGGCUGAUACCGCCCAAGAGUUCAUAUCGACGGCGGUGUUUGGCACCUCGAUGUCGGCUCAUCACAUCCUGGGGCUGAAGUAGGUCCCAAGGGUAUGGCUGUUCGCCAUUUAAAGUGGUACGCGAGCUGGGUUUAGAACGUCGUGAGACAGUUCGGUCCCUAUCUGCCGUGGGCGCUGGAGAACUGAGGGGGGCUGCUCCUAGUACGAGAGGACCGGAGUGGACGCAUCACUGGUGUUCGGGUUGUCAUGCCAAUGGCACUGCCCGGUAGCUAAAUGCGGAAGAGAUAAGUGCUGAAAGCAUCUAAGCACGAAACUUGCCCCGAGAUGAGUUCUCCCUGAGACUUAGAGUCUCCUGAAGGAACGUUGAAGACGACGACGUUGAUAGGCCGGGUGUGUAAGCGCAGCGAUGCGUUGAGCUAACCGGUACUAAUGAACCGUGAGGCUUAACCUU
rnacentral:rRNA from 1 species